UCUACCUGACUAACUAGUGAAAAGUGUGAUGAAAAGUGAUUGACGUGUAUUAUGAUCAUUUGGUGCUUGAUUUUAUUGGCAGACUCGUUGAUUUCGGCAAGCUUUUGGAUUGUUAUUGGUUACGUGUUUUCUUGAUAUUAUUGGCUAAAAGGUGAAAUCCCAGCACAGCAUGAGUAUUGAGUGUUUUGUUGCCAUUCUGGGAUAUUACUUUGGAUUUCUUUGGAGGCAAUGGAAGAAUGCUUGGUUGAAGAAUUCCCUAAAUUAAGAGUAUAAAAGUCAUUGAUGAAAGUCAUCAAUGCUAUAUGUAGUGCUGAACUGUGAAAGAAGAUGACCAAACACUUACUAAACCAGUUGCAAACAUAGGAAUAUCAUUGUUUUCAACUAAAGCAACAGGAUUUUGACUAUUGACCUAGAAGUAGUGAAUAUUGAAGAUUAGGAAAGAAAAAGAGAAACAAA